AAUGUGGCAGUCAGGCAAGGGGGCUCUCGAGCACGAUGCCUGGGUCCUCGCCUCGCUCUACCCUUUUGGUCGUGGAAUUUUGGACAAUGAAAAAAAGCUUGGGUAGCACGGUAUAGGAAACAAAGCUGAACUAGCAGCUGGAAGACCUGAGCUCUGGUCCCGGUUCUGGGAGACCCUGGGAAAGACACUUAACCUCUUCAAGCAUCAGUUCUCUUAUCUAUAAAAAAGAAGCCAGCUACCAUAUUGUGGGCUAUCCCAUGAAGUCCACGUGGCAAGGAAUUGAUGCCUCUGGCCAACAAUCACAGGAAAGAAUUUUGAUUCCCCAGGAAAUCUUGAGCCCACCCACUGCUCCUUGGGCCGCCCUAUUCCUGAAUAUCACAUUGUCCUGAAGAAUCACACGUGUUUACACAAGAGGAUGUGCUCAUUUCACAAGGGGUCCCUUACCAACCUCUGAUCCUCACCUUGCUAGAACGGUUCCAGAUCCGGGGGCUCUGACUCCUGCUCUUCUGUAGCCACAUCUCCUCCUCCUGGCCCCGCAGCCAGCCCACUGCUUGCCUGAGUUUUUCCACUGUCUGUCCUAGACUCUCCAGGACAUUCUGCAUGGCUAGCAUCAUCUGUGCCUCCUGCUCCCACUCCUCUCUGUCUGCUGCAAAGGGCAGAGAAAAGAAUCACAUGACAGCAGCCACCUCUGGGGACAGGGAGAAGAAGAAAAGACAGGGUAGUUUAUUGGAGCUGUGAGAUCAGAGCCAGGGCCUGGCUGGGGGAGCCUGGGAGGGAAGGAGGGACUCCCCAUGGGGCAGCUGUUGGACAUGUCCCCACUCUCAGGAGAUUUCUGCUCUGGGCCCUGGGCCCAGGGGCUGCUGUCCCACCUUGAGAGAGCAGGCCCCACUCUGGGCUGCUCUGCGUGCUCAGGGCUCUGGCUCUCCUCUGGGACUCCCGCAGGCAGCAGGACUCCAGGGCUGUGCGGGCCUCCUCAGCGGCCCUCAGCUGCACAGGGCAGGAAGCACAAAAGAAAGGCCUCAGAGAGGGAGGCCGGAGCUCUGGGCUGCACCACCUCACGGGGGCCCUGCCUCCUUCUCCUCUACCCUGAGACCCUCAGGGGUGGCCCGAGUCUAGGGCUUGGAGCCAGAACAAUCUGGGGCUCAGUCUGCCUUGAGAAGGGUUCCAUUUUUGCAGCCAGCGGGGGAGACAAAGGCCCCACACUGCAGGAAAAAGCUGUGGAGUCUGGGUAAAGGGGUGGGUGGAUGCGUGAGGAGGUGCCUCUGGGCCUCACCUGCUGCCGGGCAUCUCCGCCUGGAAUGGAGAGGAGCUCCCAGCUCAGGUGCCCCAGCUGUUCUGCUAGACGCCCCUCUUCCUGCUCCUGGUGGCACCAGUACUGCUCCCGGGCUCUCCGCUCCUGCUCUAGGGUAUCCAGCUGCAACAUCCAGCAUGCUGGGGACUCAUACACUUCUCCUCACCGCCUGGGAUGUGCCUGAAUGUCCCUAGCGCUGCUUCUCCACACAUGGGCCUCACUCAGCCUCGGGUGUCCACGGCUGAGCUUGGUGAGGCAGCUGACUUGGUUGUAGGUGGAGAACUAAUGACCACGCUCCUUCUUCUAGCUCUCAGCCCCUGUCUCCCUCCUAACGCCUGGCCUCGCUCUGGAGUCACCUGGCACCCUGCUCCCACCUUCCUCCCGGGAGGCCAGGGCAGGUGGGCAUGUGGCAGUGGGACAUUGUUCUCAUCCUCCCCCACAUCACCUCUUCAUACUCAUCUGUGAAACUGUGAGUCGGGGCUAGAAUUAAAAAUGUCUUGGCUCCUAAUGAGAAUCUUUUACAACACAUCCAUCUUUGUUCCUGAAAUGAACCGGGCUGAGAAUGUAUGGGAGGACCCUAAGUCAUUUCCAUUUUCCUGGAGACCUGCCAAGGGCUGAAUUAUUGCAAUAACCUCCUGACGGGGCUUCCUGCUCUAGGCUGGCCCAGCUCCCAUCUCUCCUCUGUACUGCUGCCAGAAGGAACUUUCUAGAAUGCUGACUAUAUAUACAUAUACACACACAUAAAAAUGUCUGGAAGGAGGUGUGCCCACCCCUUAAUAGCGGCUGCAUUUGGUGGGAGACUGGGGGCGAGGUGAGUAGUGUCUGGGCAGGGGGCUGCUGAUGGCAGAUGGGGUGAGAGG